UACGUAGGGUGCGAGCGUUGUCCGGAAUUACUGGGCGUAAAGAGCUCGUAGGUGGUUUGUCACGUUGUUCGUGAAAACCCACAGCUCAACUGUGGGCGUGCGAGCGAUACGGGCAGACUAGAGUACUGCAGGGGAGACUGGAAUUCCUGGUGUAGCGGUGGAAUGCGCAGAUAUCAGGAGGAACACCGGUGGCGAAGGCGGGUCUCUGGGCAGUAACUGACGCUGAGGAGCGAAAGCGUGGGGAGCGAACAGG
rnacentral:rRNA from 1 species